AGUAACGCGUGGGUAACCUGCCCUAUACACAUGGAUAACAUACUGAAAAGUUUACUAAUACAUGAUAAUAUAUAUUUACGGCAUCGUAGAUAUAUCAAAGUGUUAGCGGUAUAGGAUGGACCCGCGUUUGAUUAGCUAGUUGGUGAGAUAACUGCCCACCAAGGCGACGAUCAGUAGCCGACCUGAGAGGGUGAUCGGCCACAUUGGAACUGAGACACGGUCCAAACUCCUACGGGAGGCAGCAGCU
rnacentral:rRNA from 1 species